UUCAAAUGAAACUAUAAGUUUCCGCAUUCAACUUUGAUCGUCCGUCUUAUUUAAAAUUUUUUAUAAUCAAUAUUUUUAUUGUUAUGAGAUGAUAAAACAUGAAUAGUACUUUACUCGUGACUUAUGUUUUUAUUUUUUUUAAAACAAAUUUUAAACAAGACGGACAGUCAAAUUUAGACGUGGAAAACCAUGGCUACACAUAAA
rfam:Oryza sativa Japonica Group DNA, chromosome 1, cultivar: Nipponbare, complete sequence.